rnacentral:rRNA from 1 species
AGAGUUGAUCCUGGCUCAGGACGAACGCUGGCGGCAUGCCUAAUACAUGCAAGUCGAACGAACCAUCCUGAAGAUUGAAGCUUGCUUCAUGAUUCAGAUCUUGGUGAGUGGCGGACGGGUGAGUAACACGUGGGUAACCUGCCUUGAAGUGGGGGAUAACAUUUGGAAACAGAUGCUAAUACCGCAUAACCACAAAAACCCCCUGGUUUUUGUGUCAAAGAUGGUUCUGCUAUCACUUCAAGAUGGACCCGCGGCGUAUUAGCUUGUUGGUGAGGUAACGGCUCACCAAGGCAAUGAUACGUAGCCGAACUGAGAGGUUGAUCGGCCACAUUGGGACUGAGACACGGCCCAAACUCCUACGGGAGGCAGCAGUAGGGAAUCUUCCACAAUGGACGCAAGUCUGAUGGAGCAACGCCGCGUGAGUGAAGAAGGUCUUCGGAUCGUAAAACUCUGUUGUCAGAGAAGAACGUGCGUGAGAGCAACUGUUCAUGCAGUGACGGUAUCUGACCAGAAAGUCACGGCUAACUACGUGCCAGCAGCCGCGGUAAUACGUAGGUGGCAAGCGUUGUCCGGAUUUAUUGGGCGUAAAGGGAACGCAGGCGGUCUUUUAAGUCUGAUGUGAAAGCCUUUCGGCUUAACCGAAGUCGUGCAUUGGCAAACUGGGGGGACUUUGAGUGCAGAAGAGGAGAGUGGAACUCCAUGUGUAGCGGGAAAUGCGAGAUAUAUGGAAGAACACCAGUGGUGAAAAGCGGCCUCUCUGGUCUGUAACUGACGCUGAGGUUCAAAGCAGAGAACCCCCAGUGGGGGGAAAGCGGGCUCUCUUAUUCUGUAACUGACGCCUGAAGUUCGAAAGCGUGGGUAGCAAACAGGAUAGAUACCCUGUAGUUCACCGCCCGUAACGAUGAAUGCUAAGUGUUGGAAGGGUUCGCCCUUCAGUGCCGCAGCUAACGCCAUUAAGCAUUCCGCCUGGGGAGGUACGAUCGCAAGAUUGAAACUCAAAGGAAUGACGGGGGCCCGCACCAAGCGGUGGAGCAUGUGGUUUAAUUCGAAGCAACGCGAAGAACCUUACCAGGUCUUGACAUCUUUGCCAGGCUGAGAGAUCAGCUGUCCUUUCGGGGACAAAAUGACAGGUGGUGCAUGGUUGUCGUCAGCUCGUGUCGUGAGAUGUUGGGUUAAGUCCCGCAACGAGCGCAACCCUUAUUGUCAGUUGCCAGCAUUUAGUUGGGCACUCUGAUAAGACUGCCGGUGACAAACCGGAGGAAGGUGGGGAUGACGUCAAAUCAUCAUGCCCCUUAUGACCUGGGCUACACACGUGCUACAAUGGGCGGUACAACGAGUCGCGAGACCGCGAGGUCAAGCCAAUCUCUUAAAACCGUUCUCAGUUCGGAUUGCAGGCUGCAACCCGCCUGCAUGAAGUCGGAAUCGCUAGUAAUCGCGGAUCAGCAUGCCGCGGUGAAUACGUUCCCGGGCCUUGUACACACCGCCCGUCACACCAUGAGAGUUUGUAACACCCAAAGCCGGUGGGGUAACCGCAAGGGACCAGCCGUCUAAGGUGGGACAGAUGAUUGGGGUGAAGUCGUAACAAGGUAACC